CAGUAGAGGAAUGAUGUACUACAAAAGGGCCCUAAAAUUGCAAGCAUUUCUUGACAUGGUAGAGGAUAAAAGUUUCUAAUUUUCACUG
rnacentral:snoRNA from 1 species